CCUGCCUCUCCUUGCAUAGAUGUCAGAAGUAACACUUCAGGCGGGGGCGUCUGAGGUUCGCGUGUGAGGGAAUCAGGUGCAUUGCACAGUCAUCUCCUGCUCAAGACAGAGGAGGGCGCUCAGGGGCCAAUCAAACGACUUCUAAACCGCGAAAACAGGCCUGGGGCAAAAGAGUCCGUAGAUACCGCAGUCAAGGGGCGAUUCACUCCAUUUACUGACACAAUAGACAUGGAGUGCCUCCCAUGGACACAGGGAAUGAAGGGAUAGACAGAUGUCCUAUCUUUGGGAAUGCUGGCCUUCCAAGGAGAGAGUUGUCCACUGGGGAAAACGCCUGGGCAAUUCCCUGCAGUGUGGCAGGUGUGAAGGUGGAGUGGGACCUGGCUCACUUUUGUAGAUCCCUUCAAAGCUGGAGAUUGGUGCCUUCCGGGAUUCUGCCAUUGAAGGAAGGAAAAAGGAUGAAGCGAUUACAACCUGGGCGCAGUAUACUGGCUGGCUUUGCUGCUCACUCCCUUACGAAUAGCUGUGAUGGGAUAUGAAAUCCAAGGGAACUGUUAGCCCCCCAGAGCAGCUGCUCCCACCGACCCUGCUCCAAGAGUGCUGGGAUGUCCGCUGGCCUCGAGGCAAGACAAGAGCUCCAAUCACUCUGCUGCAAGCGCCACCAUUAAAGUCAAGAUCACUGUGGUGGGGGGAGUUGAAGUGUGCAUUCCAGCAUGCUCAUGAUCUUACUGACCUUCUCCACUGAUGAAUUAGAACACCCCUCUUCCCAGGCACAGGACGAGUUCAGUGCCUCUCUGUUUCUUGAUGGACCCCAAUAAAAAAACGCCUGCACUGUUUUUCACCUAAGGUCAUCUCGACAAUUUACAAGGAUAAGGAUUGUAGCUGCAAAAUAAUGCCUAUGCCCCUCUAGCCCCCUUAGCAUCCCCCAUCUAUAUCAAGACCAUAAAACCAGUGCUUUUGGCCCUCCUCCUCACUCCUCCAGUAUGGGCAAUUUUCUUUUCCUCAUCCAUGUUUCCAAAACAGUUUAUCUUUUUAUCUCCUUGGAAGAAAAGUACUCCACAAAUCAAAG
rnacentral:lncRNA from 1 species